ACGGAGAGUUUGAUCCUGGCUCAGGACAAACGCUGGCGGCGUGUAUUAGGCAUGCAAGUCGAGCGAGAAGCCGGCCUUCGGGCCGGUGGAGAGCGGCGGACGGGUGAGUAACACGUGGGUAACCUGCCCUGGAGUGGGGGAUAACCCGGCGAAAGCCGGGCUAAUACCGCAUACGACUCCCGAUGAGAGAUCGGGUAGUGAAAACUCCGGUGCUCCGGGAGGGGCCCGCGGCCGAUUAGCUAGUUGGUGAGGUAACGGCCCACCAAGGCGACGAUCGGUAGCUGGUCUGAGAGGAUGGUCAGCCACACGGGGACUGAGAACGGCCCCGACUCCUACGGGAGGCAGCAGCUAAGAAUCUUGCGCAAUGGGCGAAAGCCUGACGCAGCAACGCCGCGUGCGGGAGGAAGGCCUUCGGGUUGUAAACCGCUUUUGCGAGGGAAGAAGUACUGACGGUACCUCGCGAAUAAGUCACGGCUAACUACGUGCCAGCAGCCGCGGUAAUACGUAGGUGACAAGCGUUGUCCGGAUUUACUGGGCGUAAAGCGCCCGCAGGCGGCCUCGCAAGUUUCAGGUGAAAUCUCCCGGCUCAACCGGGAGGGGUCCUGGAAAACUGCGAGGCUUGAGGCAGGGAGGGGAAUGCGGAAUUUCCGGUGUAGCGGUGAAAUGCGUAGAUAUCGGAAGGAACACCAGCGGCGAAGGCGGCAUUCUGGCCCUGUCCUGACGCUCAGGGGCGAAAGCGUGGGGAGCGAACCGGAUUAGAUACCCGGGUAGUCCACGCCGUAAACGAUGAGUACUAGGUGUUGGGGGUAUCGACCCCCUCAGUGCCGAAGCUAACGCGAUAAGUACUCCGCCUGAGGACUACGGCCGCAAGGCUAAAACUCAAAGGAAUUGACGGGGGCCCGCACAAGCA
rnacentral:rRNA from 1 species